rnacentral:lncRNA from 1 species
UGAAGAGAGACCAGCCAUCUCAUCUAUCAAUUGCUGUCUUAGUUGCUGCUGUGUGCGGAUGCUUUCCAAGCCAAGCAUGUCCAUGUCCAAAUCCAAGUCCCGAGCGUUUAGAGAUGUCUUUAGCCUACUGCCAGGAAGCUGUAAUGCAGGUGGGGUGAUGUUCACCUUGUUCUGCCACAUGUUUCCACCCAUUGGAGACGAACAUGUUACAGCAGGAGACAUCGGUGGUGUUGAAGUAGCAGGCAGUAACAUGGACGAAGAACCAAGAGCCAGAGGGCUCAAUGUUGACAUAUCCAUCGAGCCGGCUGGACUAGCCUUUGGAGAAGGGAUAGCUGAACCAGUUGACGCAUACAAGGGGCGUAGCUCUUCAGGCUUGUGAGCAAAGAAGCAAACUUUCCUUGAGCACCCGGUCUCAUCCUUGCAGAGACGGGUUCUAUAUUGGGCAGGAUGAAGCCAUGACUCGAAUACACCAUGAGCAUACUCACAAGAAUCAUUCUUUGCACAAACACCUUUCUUGAACUCGGGACAUGGAACACAAGUAUAGUUAUACUUCCUUGGAUCGCGUCUCCUUGCGUUCUCCCCUGGAUGAACAAAAGGGCAUUCAGUCCAAUCAUGAGAAUAUGCCCUUGAACAUGGCUUAACCUUGAAACAAUACAUCCUGAAAUCAUCACUCCCAUAAAUCCCAUCAUUUAUGUCCGGCAAGGAAGUAUCAAUCGGAUACUCUUUCUUCUCGCUUCCUUCUUUCGUCAUCUGGAUUGCUGCUUUUCCUUCUUCUUCCUCCUCCAGCUCAGCAAGCUCAGCCAAGCACCCAUUCAACAACUCCAGUGACUUCCUUUUCGAAUUCCUCAAGGACUUAG